UACAGAGACUGCAAGCGUUAUUCGGAUUCACUGGGCGUAAAGGGUGCGCAGGCGGCCGUGUGUGUGAGGCGUGAAAGCCCGGGGCUUAACCCCGGAAUUGCACCUCAAACUACACGGCUAGAGCAUUGGAGAGGGUAGCAGAAUUCACGGUGUAGCAGUGAAAUGCGUAGAUAUCGUGAGGAAUACCAGAGGCGAAGGCGGCUACCUGGAUAAUUGCUGACGCUCAGGUACGAAAGCGUGGGGAGCAAAAGGG
rnacentral:rRNA from 1 species